UACGGAGGGGCUAGCGUUGUUCGGAAUUACUGGGCGUAAAGCGCACGUAGGCGGACUGUUAAGUCGGGGGUGAAAUCCUGGGGCUCAACCUCAGAAUUGCCUCCGAUACUGGCAGUCUCGAGUGCGGGAGAGGUGAGUGGAAUUCCCAGUGAUAGAGGUGAAAUUCGGUAAGAUAUUGGGAAGAACACCAGUGGCGAAGGCGGCUCACUGGCCCGUAACUGACGCUGAGGUGCGAAAGGCGUGGGGAGCAAACAGG
rnacentral:rRNA from 1 species